rnacentral:lncRNA from 1 species
GCUGGGGCCACCCAGGCAACCGAUAUACACAGAGAACCACGUGGAGGAAAAGCACGCGAGUUUGGAGGGGGUGGAGCAGGAACAGAGGUGGACUGGAAUGUCACACGACGGGGCAGCUGGAAGUGCACAGAAACACUCUCCACACCAAGCUGCUGCUGCUGGGGGAUGGAGGGAUGGCGUCAGCGAUUCAAGACUGUUUUUCCUACCUGUUCAGCACUUCUUUCAGCGAUAUGAAGUUAAAUCCAGGUCCCACCGACCCCAGCUCUUCCUUGUGCCGGGCAAAGAUGCCUCCUGUGGGUCUGCACAGGACAUGUUUCUCCUUGAGUGUGUUGGGGACAUUCCAGGCCUGAGAGUGUCCUGAGGCUGAGAGCCCCUGUUGAGCAGAAGAGAGCUGUUGGCCCUCUUGCCUGGCCAGGACUCUGAAGGACUCCAGCUCCAACAUUUUCUCACUAGUAAAUGAGAUGAUUUACUCUUGACUUGGGGUUUGUUUGUUUCACAUGUAAAGACACCUUCACAGCACGAAAGCUGCAGAUUCAGAGAGGGACAUCAGGUUGAGGAGGCGGGAGGGAUGUGUGUCACAGGUCCCCGGACGCUGUGUAGAUUUCUUGGUUGGCCAGUGAAAGUCCCCACAUCUCACGGAGAUCCCCAUGCCCUUCCCGAGGAAGCCUCUAGAUGUCAGAGAUGCAGACAUUGCGCGUCUCAGUGGACAAUCCAAUCCAGAAAUGGGGGUGCAGAGAGGGGCUUCUGUUGCUCUUGAGCGGGAAUUCCACGGCCCUAGGUAUGGACUUAGGUGCUGAAGGGGGGGUACCCAGGAGAGAGGUUAGGACUGGCGAGGGAGUGGAUGGGGAUGGGGUUGGGGCAUGUGUACACGAACCAGGGCUGGGGCCAGCCCUCUAUAAUUACCUGAGUCACCACAGAUACCCCACAGCCUCCACAAGGCCUGCUGACUUGACCAGGGAG